rnacentral:rRNA from 1 species
CUACGUGCCAGCAGCCGCGGUAAUACGGAGGAUGCGAGCGUUAUCCGGAUUUAUUGGGUUUAAAGGGUGCGUAGGUGGGCUGUUAAGUCCGCGGUGAAAGUUUGUCGCUUAACGAUAAAAUUGCCGUUGAAACUGGUAGUCUUGAGUAUAGAUGAAGUAGGCGGAAUGCGUGGUGUAGCGGUGAAAUGCAUAGAGAUCACGCAGAACUCCGAUUGCGAAGGCAGCUUACUAAGGUAUAACUGACACUGAAGCACGAAAGCGUGGGUAUCAAACAGGAUUAGAUACCCUGGUAGUCCACGCAGCAAACGAUGAUUACUAGGAGUUUGCGAUAUAGUGUAAGCUCUACAGCGAAAGCGUUAAGUAAUCCACCUGGGGAGUACGCCGGCAACGGUGAAACUCAAAGGAAUUGACGGGGCCCCGCACAAGCGGAGGAACAUGUGGUUUAAUUCGAUGAUACGCGAGGAACCUUACCCGGGAUUGAA